rnacentral:rRNA from 1 species
AGAGUUUGAUCAUGGCUCAGAUUGAACGCUGGCGGCAGGCCUAACACAUGCAAGUCGAGCGGUAGCACAGAGAGCUUGCUCUCGGGUGACGAGCGGCGGACGGGUGAGUAAUGUCUGGGAAACUGCCUGAUGGAGGGGGAUAACUACUGGAAACGGUAGCUAAUACCGCAUAAUGUCGCAAGACCAAAGUGGGGGACCUUCGGGCCUCAUGCCAUCAGAUGUGCCCAGAUGGGAUUAGCUUGUAGGUGGGGUAACGGCUCACCUAGGCGACGAUCCCUAGCUGGUCUGAGAGGAUGACCAGCCACACUGGAACUGAGACACGGUCCAGACUCCUACGGGAGGCAGCAGUGGGGAAUAUUGCACAAUGGGCGCAAGCCUGAUGCAGCCAUGCCGCGUGUGUGAAGAAGGCCUUCGGGUUGUAAAGCACUUUCAGCGGGGAGGAAGGCGGUGAGGUUAAUAACCUCAUCGAUUGACGUUACCCGCAGAAGAAGCACCGGCUAACUCCGUGCCAGCAGCCGCGGUAAUACGGAGGGUGCAAGCGUUAAUCGGAAUUACUGGGCGUAAAGCGCACGCAGGCGGUCUGUCAAGUCGGAUGUGAAAUCCCCGGGCUCAACCUGGGAACUGCAUUCGAAACUGGCAGGCUAGAGUCUUGUAGAGGGGGGUAGAAUUCCAGGUGUAGCGGUGAAAUGCGUAGAGAUCUGGAGGAAUACCGGUGGCGAAGGCGGCCCCCUGGACAAAGACUGACGCUCAGGUGCGAAAGCGUGGGGAGCAAACAGGAUUAGAUACCCUGGUAGUCCACGCCGUAAACGAUGUCGAUUUGGAGGUUGUGCCCUUGAGGCGUGGCUUCCGGAGCUAACGCGUUAAAUCGACCGCCUGGGGAGUACGGCCGCAAGGUUAAAACUCAAAUGAAUUGACGGGGGCCCGCACAAGCGGUGGAGCAUGUGGUUUAAUUCGAUGCAACGCGAAGAACCUUACCUGGUCUUGACAUCCACAGAACUUAGCAGAGAUGGUUUGGUGCCUUCGGGAACUGUGAGACAGGUGCUGCAUGGCUGUCGUCAGCUCGUGUUGUGAAAUGUUGGGUUAAGUCCCGCAACGAGCGCAACCCUUAUCCUUUGUUGCCAGCGGUUCGGCCGGGAACUCAAAGGAGACUGCCAGUGAUAAACUGGAGGAAGGUGGGGAUGACGUCAAGUCAUCAUGGCCCUUACGACCAGGGCUACACACGUGCUACAAUGGCAUAUACAAAGAGAAGCGACCUCGCGAGAGCAAGCGGACCUCAUAAAGUAUGUCGUAGUCCGGAUUGGAGUCUGCAACUCGACUCCAUGAAGUCGGAAUCGCUAGUAAUCGUAGAUCAGAAUGCUACGGUGAAUACGUUCCCGGGCCUUGUACACACCGCCCGUCACACCAUGGGAGUGGGUUGCAAAAGAAGUAGGUAGCUUAACCUUCGGGAGGGCGCUUACCACUUUGUGAUUCAUGACUGGGGUGAAGUCGUAACAAGGUAACCGUAGGGGAACCUGCGGUUGGAUCACCU